GUCCUCGUAGUUCAAUUGGAUAGAACGGCUCCCUCCUAAGGAGCAGAUACAGGUUCAAUUCCUGUCGGGGACACCA
rnacentral:tRNA from 3 species